GAGUUAGUGUAAAGUGUUACUCCAUAUUAGUAUAGGUAGGCUAUAUUGCAGAUUAUCAAAAUGUGCUGAUAUAGAUUGAACGUUGCCCCUGGUGUCGAUUGCAUUUGAGGUUUAAAAAUAAAUAAAUGUCAUAUUGUAUUCUAUUCAGACUUUCAGAAUCUUGUUCUCAUGUUGGGGCAGUUCUGUUUUCCAUUGAAGCUGGGGUGAAGAUGAGAGAUAUCGCUUCCUGCACAACUGAGCAGUGCAAGUGGCUGAUGCCAUCACAUGUGAAAAAGAUUCCUGCUGCUCCAGUAGCUGAGAUUGACUUCUCCUCUGCAAAAUCAAAAAAAAAAAAGCUUGACCGUUCCAUCGAUGGGGGGACAACUGUAAACAAGUUAUGGAUGCAAACAUGAAGCACCAGCCAGAGGAGCAUAUGAGAAGCUGAUUGGUCGGGAGCAUGCAGGCUUCUCAUGUAUGGACAGUGGUCUCUGGCUGAACCCCAAGUGGCCCUACAUGGGGUCCUCCCCUGAUGGGAUUGUCACUUGUGACUGUCACGGAACUGGCAUCUGCGAGAUUAAGUGCCCACACUCUCGCCAAGAGGAGACCAACCUGCGUCUGUGUGCUGACGAAAAGGGCUUCUGCCUCAUCAAUGAUGGGGAUAAUGUCAUGCUGGACCGGAGUCAUGACUACUACUACCAAGUUCAGGCACAGCUUCACAUUGUAGAUGCUGAGUACUGUGACUUUGUUGUGUGGAACCGCAAUGACAUUUUUGUUGAAAGGAUUUUGCCUGAUCUUGAAUUUUGGGAUGAUGUGAUUCCUAAAGUUGAGUGCUUUUUUAG